UACACCCACCAAUUUCAUGAGUUCAUCCAUCUCCUCUAUACAAACCUCUUGGCCCUCCCUUCCUCUCGAUCUCUCUAAACAGCGGCAGCAGGAGCCGAGCUCCGAUGACCCCACCUGCCGACGCCACCCAACCCCUUCCCCCUCUGCUCUCCCUCGUUCUCUCCGACGAAGACCACCAGCGAACCGGCGGCCGGUGACUCUCCAAACACCUCCACCCCCUUCCUAUUUCGUACCUGCCGGAGCUCGAAGCCGACGCCGUUAAACCCGAGUCGCCCACUGUGUUUCGGUUAACCUCUCACGUUCGUCCUCUUGGAUUUCUUUACUCGUGCGUUUUACAAGAAAUCGCAACGCAAUCACUGUUAAUUGAUGAAGUGAUGUUACAAGAUGAAACAAGAUUUAGGGUGGACUAGAUACACACCUAGAUUAAUCUAUCUUUUGUUGUUAUGUUACAAUUUGAAACA